GUGCCAGCAGCCGCGGUAAGACGAACCGUCCGAACGUUAUUCGGAAUUAUUGGGCUUAAAGGGUGCGUAGGCGGCCUUGUAAGUCGGGUGUGAAAUCCCACGGCUCAACCGUGGAACUGCGCCCGAUACUGCAUGGCUUGAGGGAGACAGAGGUAAGCGGAACUGAUGGUGGAGCGGUGAAAUGCGUUGAUAUCAUCAGGAACACCGGUGGCGAAAGCGGCUUACUGGGUCUCUUCUGACGCUGAGGCACGAAAGCUAGGGUAGCGAACGGGAUUAGAUACCCCGGUAGUCC
rnacentral:rRNA from 1 species